rnacentral:misc_RNA from 1 species
AACGCACAUUGCGCCCGCCAGCAUUCUGGCGGGCAUGCCUGUUCGAGCGUCAUUUCAACCAUCAAGCCCCCGGGCUUGUGUUGGGGACCUGCAGCGGCACUUUCUCUGUGCCCGCAGGCCCUGAAAUGCAGUGGCGGGCUCGCUAGUGACACCGAGCGUAGUAGCAAUUUAUCUCGCUCAGGGCGUCGCUGCGGGUUUUCCCGGCCGUUAAACACCCCCCCUUUCUUCUAAGGUUGACCUCGGAUCAGGUAGGAAGACCCGCUGAACUUAA